UCUGGCGGCAGUAGCGCGGUGGUCCCACCUGACCCCAUGCCGAACUCAGAAGUGAAACGCCGUAGCGCCGAUGGUAGUGUGGGGUUUCCCCAUGCGAGAGUAGGGAACUGCCAGA
rnacentral:rRNA from 1 species